rnacentral:rRNA from 1 species
GAUGAACGCUGGCGGCGUGCCUAAUACAUGCAAGUCGAGCGAACGGACGAGAAGCUUGCUUCUCUGAUGUUAGCGGCGGACGGGUGAGUAACACGUGGAUAACCUACCUAUAAGACUGGGAUAACUUCGGGAAACCGGAGCUAAUACCGGAUAAUAUUUUGAACCGCAUGGUUCAAAAGUGAAAGACGGUCUUGCUGCCACUUAUAGAUGGAUCCGCGCUGCAUUAGCUAGUUGGUAAGGUAACGGCUUACCAAGGCAACGAUGCAUAGCCGACCUGAGAGGGUGAUCGGCCACACUGGAACUGAGACACGGUCCAGACUCCUACGGGAGGCAGCAGUAGGGAAUCUUCCGCAAUGGGCGAAAGCCUGACGGAGCAGCGCCGCGUGAGUGAUGAAGGUCUUCGGAUCGUAAAACUCUGUUAUUAGGGAAGAACAUAUGUGUAAGUAACUGUGCACAUCUUGACGGUACCUAAUCAGAAAGCCACGGCUAACUACGUG